CGGCGUCGGCGGUGGCGCUAAGGUACGGCACGGCGGCAGCUGUGGGGCAUCGUGCGGGAAGAGGAGUAGGGUUUGGCUCCGCCGCGCUGCAACGA